GUGAGGAAUCUUGCGCAAUGGGCGAAAGCCUGACGCAGCGACGCCGCGUGGAGGACGAAGGUCUUCGGAUCGUAAACUCCUGUCAAGUGGGACGAAUCCCACGAGGGUGAACAAUCCUCGUGGUUGACGGUACCACUGAAGGAAGCCCCGGCUAACUCCGUGCCAGCAGCCGCGGUAAUACGGAGGGGGCCAGCGUUGUUCGGAAUUAUUGGGCGUAAAGGGCGCGUAGGCGGCGUGGUAAGUCGGGCGUGAAAUCCCUCGGCUCAACCGAGGAAUUGCCUCCGAAACUGCCGUGCUUGAGUCCCGGAGAGGGUAGCGGAAUUCCCAGUGUAGCGGUGAAAUGCGUAGAUAUUGGGAGGAACACCAGUGGCGAAGGCGGCUACCUGGACGGGUACUGACGCUGAGGCGCGAAAGCGUGGGGAGCAAACAGGAUUAGAAACCCCAGUAGUCC
rnacentral:rRNA from 1 species